GGCUGGGUACAGUGGUGUGAUCUUGGCUCACUGCAACUUCCAUCUCCCAGAUUCAAGCAAUUCUCCUGCCUCAGCCUCCAAGCAGCUGGGAUUACAGGCGCACACCACCACUCUAGGCUAAUUUUUGUAUUUAGUAGAGACAGGGUUUCACCAUGUGGUCUCGCUCUGUCUGGAGUGCAGUGGUGUAGUCAUAGCUCAGUGCAUCCUCAAAUUCCUGAGAUCAAGCAAU
rnacentral:lncRNA from 1 species